UACAGAGGUCUCAAGCGUUGUUCGGAAUUACUGGGCGUAAAGGGCGCGUAGGCGGCCUUUCUAAGUCGAACGUGAAAUCCCUGGGCUCAACCCAGGAACUGCGUCCGAUACUGGAAGGCUUGAAUCCGGGAGAGGGAUGCGGAAUUCCAGGUGUAGCGGUGAAAUGCGUAGAUAUCUGGAGGAACACCGGUGGCGAAGGCGGCAUCCUGGACCGGUAUUGACGCUGAGGCGCGAAAGCCAGGGGAGCAAACGGG
rnacentral:rRNA from 1 species